AGUGAACGCUGGCGGCGGGCCUAAUACAUGCAAGUCGAGCGGACAGACGAUGAGCUUUCGCCUCUGACGGUAGCGGCUGACGGGUGGGUAACACAUGGAUAACCUACCUAUAUUUCUGGGAGGACUUCGUGAAACCGGAUCUGAUACCGGAUAAUAUAUUGUACCGCAGGGUUCAAUGGUGAAACGCAGUUUUGCUGUCACUUUUAGAUGGUGCCGCAUUAGCUAGUUGGGUAGGUAAAGGCACACCAAGGCAACGAUCCGUAGCUGAUCUGAGAGGAUGAUCGGCCACACUGGAACUGAGACACGGUCCAGACUCCUACGGGAGGCAGCAGUAGGGAAUCUUGCGCAAUGGGCGCAAGCUUGACCCAGCCACGCCGCGUGAGUGAUGAAGGUCUUCGGAUCGUAAAACUCUGUUAUUAGGGAAGAAAAACUGUGUAAGUAAACCCGCCUGUUCUGACGGUACCUAAUCAGAAAGCACCGGCUAACUACGUG
rnacentral:rRNA from 1 species